ACAUGAAAUAAAAUGACUAGGCUAUUUAGCCUAGUUAAAUUAUUUAGUCAAAACAAGUAAUGAAUGAGUUUGGUGGCAAUUGUGAGGAUGUGACAAAAUAGAGGGGCUAAACUUGGAAAAAUUGAGUUUAAGUUUUACAUAAUCUAGAAAACUCAGUAUUGUGUGUGUAUGUUGGAGGUGUAUGUCGACACCCACAAAGGAAAAAGAAGAAACCCUCAAAUUCAGCCCCUUUAAGUCUAAAUUGAAGAUGGAUUCAAGUUGAGAUUGAUGCAUGAACCCGAUUUCUUGAUGAUCUAGUACUCACAAUCAUGUGGAACGUGUCAAGGAGAGCUCAAGCAUAGGAGGAUAACGGGUCAAGAUAAGGCAAGGUGACAAAUACACUUAUUGGAGUACUCAACGUACCACAUGGAUUCCUUCUUCUACUAACGAAGCUGAGCGGACGUAGAUCGAGUCAAGAGCAAGGGUUGUACGGAAAGAACGGUCAAAUAGUUCGAAAUAUGUAUUGCUUUGAAGCGUCAAUACAAUGUGAAUAUUGUAAAACCCUUCCAGUAAAUGUUUAAUAAAUUGCAUCUGAA